rnacentral:rRNA from 1 species
AGUGAACGCUGGCGGUAGGCCUAACACAUGCAAGUCGAACGGCAGCACAGUAAGAGCUUGCUCUUACGGGUGGCGGGUGGCGGACGGGUGAGGAAUACAUCGGAAUCUACUUUUUCGUGGGGGAUAACGUAGGGAAACUUACGCUAAUACCGCAUACGACCUACGGGCGAAAGCAGGGGAUCUUCGGACCUUGCGCGAUUGAAUGAGCCGAUGUCGGAUUAGCUAGUUGGCGGGGUAAAGGCCCACCAAGGCGACGAUCCGUAGCUGGUCUGAGAGGAUGAUCAGCCACACUGGAACUGAGACACGGUCCAGACUCCUACGGGAGGCAGCAGUGGGGAAUAUUGGACAAUGGGCGCAAGCCUGAUCCAGCCAUACCGCGUGGGUGAAGAAGGCCUUCGGGUUGUAAAGCCCUUUUGUUGGGAAAGAAAAGCAGCAGGUUAAUACCCCGCUGUUCUGACGGUACCCAAAGAAUAAGCACCGGCUAACUUCGU